rnacentral:rRNA from 1 species
GACGCACGCUGGCGGCGUGCUUAACACAUGCAAGUCGAACGGUAAGGCCCUUCGGGGUACACGAGUGGCGAACGGGUGAGUAACACGUGGGUGAUCUGCCCUGCACUUCGGGAUAAGCCUGGGAAACUGGGUCUAAUACCGGAUAGGACCCUGGGAUGCAUGUCCUGGGGUGGAAAGCUUUUGCGGUGUGGGAUGGGCCCGCGGCCUAUCAGCUUGUUGGGGGGGUGAUGGCCUACCAAGGCGACGACGGGUAGCCGGCCUGAGAGGGUGACCGGCAACACUGGGACUGAGAUACUGCCCAGACUCCUACGGGAGGCAGCAGUGGGGAAUAUUGCACAAUGGGCGCAAGCCUGAUGCAGCGACGCCGCGUGAGGGAUGACGGCCUUCGGGUUGUAAACCUCUUUCAGCACCGACGAAGCGCAAGUGACGGUAGGUGCAGAAGAAGGACCGGCCAACUACGUGCCAGCCGCCGCCGUAA